rnacentral:rRNA from 1 species
GACGAACGCUGGCGACGUGCCUAAUACAUGCAAGUCGAACGCAGUGGGGACGGGUGAGUAACACGUGGGUAACCUCCCAUCAGAGGGGAUAACACUUGGAAACAGGUGCUAAACCGAUACUGAUGGAUGGACCCGCGGUGCAUUAGCUAGUGGGUGAGGUAACGGCUCACCAAGGCACCGAUGCAUAGACGACCUGAGAGCGGGAUCGGCCACACAGGGACUGAGACACGUCCCAGACUCCUCCGGGAGGGAACAGUAGGGAAUCUUCGGCAAUGGACGAAAGUCUGACCGAGCAACGCCGCGUGAGUGAAGAAGUUUUUCGGAUCGUAAAAAUCUGUUGUUAGAGAAGCGGUAUCUAACCAGAAAGCCACUGCUAACUACGUGCCAGCAGCCGCGGUAAUAC